CAAGGUGAGUUCUCCAUGAGGACAAAGGUGGAAACUGCGACCAAAAAACAAAACAAAACAAAAAAGAACUUGAAGAAACGGAAACGACUGUCAGUUCCUCCUGGAGUUGCAUCCGGGGCGGGACUUUGCGCCAUCGACUUGCUGGGGCAGCCGGAACCCUCGCAACACAGCCCUGUAGGUUUCCAGGCGGCGCUCAGAAGCAACUUCCGGCUGCUCCGGAAGUUGUGGAGUUGUUUCCGGGGCGGUCGGAGGAGUGGAUCUCUGAUGGGUCGUAGCCGUAGCCGCUCCCCGCGGAGGGAGCGUAGGCGAUCCCGGUCCACAUCCCGGGAUCGAGAAAGAAGGCGCCGAGAAAGGUCCAGGUCCCGGGAGAGGGAUAGGAGAAGGAGCCGCUCAAGAUCCCCACACCGAAGACGCUCCAGGUCUCCGAGGCGACAUAGAUCCACAUCUCCUUCCCCUUCUCGACUGAAAGAAAGAAGAGACGAGGAGAAGAAAGAAACUAAAGAAACAAAGAGCAAAGAACGUCAGAUUACUGAGGAAGAUUUGGAGGGUAAAACAGAGGAAGAAAUAGAAAUGAUGAAAUUAAUGGGAUUUGCCUCCUUUGACUCCACAAAAGGUUUCACUGUGUAGCACAGGCUGGCCUUAAACUUGAAAUCCUCCAGAUCCUCCUGCCUUAGUCACCUGAGUGCUGGGAUUAAGAAGCAAGGAUUUUAGUCCACAAUCACAGGGAAGAUAUCACUUAGCCCAAGCUGGCCUCAAUCUUGUUACCUAGCCAAGGGAAGAAGGUGGAUGGCUCUGUAAAUGCCUAUGCCAUAAAUGUGUCUCAGAAGAGGAAGUACAGGCAGUACAUGAAUCGAAAAGGCGGAUUCAACAGACCUCUGGAUUUUAUUGCAUGAGACUUGAGGUGUUGGAGGAUUUCCUCCCCCUUCAUCUGGGUCAGAGAGUAUUUUAUAUUUUGUAUUUAAUACACCUCAAAACAGGAUCUUGGUUCUUCCUUCUUAUAAAGUAAGAAAGUCUUAUUUAUGACACCCAGUGUACUUACUUUCAUCAGGAGGUAGGUGACACUUUUUAAGGCGGUGUCCCUGCGGUGGGUGCAGCCCAUUUGUCUUAUUCCUUUGAACCUGUGUGUGCUUUCUUCUUGGAUGCUUUUUAGUUCUUAAAAACUUAAAGUAACUUAGAUGUGAGUUUCUCCAAUAAAACAGUAUUUCUACCCAUUUUA